rnacentral:rRNA from 1 species
UACGGAGGGGGCAAGCGUUGUUCGGAAUUAUUGGGCGUAAAGGGCGCGUAGGCGGCCAUGCAAGUCGGUUGUGAAAUCCCUUGGCUCAACCAAGGAACUGCGUCCGAAACUGCAUGGCUAGAGUCCGGGAGAGGGUAGUGGAAUUCCCAGUGUAGCGGUGAAAUGCGUAGAUAUUGGGAGGAACACCGGUGGCGAAGGCGGCUACCUGGACCGGAACUGACGCUGAGGCGCGAAAGCUAGGGGAGCAAACAGG